CCUGGCAGGAAACAUGGCGCCUAAGCAGCUCAAACGCUCAAAAGUUUGGUUAUACUUUACGAGGACGGAUGACAACGGGGCAACUUGCAAUACUUGCAAAGUAGAUAUUUCAUUUAAGGGAGGAAACACUACGAAUAUGCAAAAGCAUUUGCUCACAAAACACACGAUAACCUUAAAUGAAUGUCGUGUUUUUAAUUCCGCUCCGGACUCGUGAAUCUCAACCCAGCAGCAGCGGUAACGUUUGCACGUCUUCUCCCGUUAAUGCGGCAGGUGACCAUGAUGAGAGAGACAGAGUCUGGCUGGCUCAGAUUCUGGCAGUUCUUGCUGCAGUCUACCGUUAGCGUCUCCUUUCAGGCCAGGAUAGACGAAUGUCACCGAGCAGUGACUAAGUUUGUGGUCAAAGGCUUGCACCCAUUUGCCACAGCAGAUGCCCCCGAGUUUUGUUUUUUUUCCUGGGGACCCUGUGACACCCCAUUGAAGAGCCGUAGGCUGUGGAUCUCUUCAGAUCUCACUGUUGGGUUUGAUCGUGAUCUCCAUGUCAGCGUGGAAAUCCUGCCAUGAGACGGAUGCUCCAUCACUGUUCAAUAGCUUCAGUAGCUGCCUGCAUGAGAUGCUCCACUUAGCCACCACUUCUCAGCUAUAAACCUACUUAAGCAGGGAAACAGGAUAAUUUAAUGUCCAUGUUGUACCACAGAGAGCCUGUUUUAAAUAUCAAUGCACUUGUAGUUGUGUAGUACAGCUAGAUCAGCACGAAUCAAUGCAAAGGUGCAGAAUCUGUACCUCGUAUUUUUUUUUUUAAUGUAAAAGUAAAUUACUCAAGAUUUUAUGUAGUCAUUAACAUUGUGUAAACUGUUAUUUUGGGUGUACUUUUUUUUCCUUCCUGAUUCAACGCUCGUUUUUAUUUUGACUGUAUAGUUUGAAAUCCUGACAGUAUUAUUCCACAUUUUAAGAUAAUAUGUUAACCGCUAAGUGGCUAACGACUCCUGUUUGCCUUAGUUUUCACUGUGAAAAAGCUCUUUUCCAGUAACUGUAGAAAAGAGCUGUUAGGCUUGAACUGAAGCUGAGUAAAGCUAAACACUACUGAAUUGUAACACUGUGUAUGGAAGCUCGUUUCUGAAGCUUUUGCAGAGUUAAUUCAACAUUUCUACUUCACUCUAAAAGAACCUGAAAUUUUAACUAAUGGAUGGCAGAAACAAGCUUCUACUGACUAUUGUUUGUACAAAUAGUUGAUCGUCUUGUCAAAACAGUGCCUACAGAUAAAGGAAAUGCACUUGAAUACCACAAGAGGACGUGAAUGUACCCCAUCACAUGAAGUGCACACACUGGGCUAAUUUAAACUCAUUAAAAGAGAGAAGUAGGCACGACUCGUGUAAGUUUGUUAAAGCCAAGGUUUGACUUCCAGUUUCUCCAGGUACCAAUUCCUUCUACACACUGUGCAACUUUGUUUUUAUUUUCAUGUCCAAAUGUUGGUGACGGUGUUUACUUUGGGUUUCAAAGAGUGGAUGACAUAAAAAUCUGUUGAAACACUUUCUACAUUUGGAGCCUCACACCAACGUGAUUAUUGCUUUGAUAAGGUGAAAUUUCACUGUGAUUGUACCACUUUGAGGGAAGCUGUAGUCAAUUUUUUAGUCAAAUUUUCUGAGAAUAAAGU